rnacentral:piRNA from 1 species
UGGUGAUUUUAGUCCCUAUUUGGACUGAC